rnacentral:rRNA from 1 species
AUUGAACGCUGGCGGCAGGCCUAACACAUGCAAGUCGAGCGAGCGGCGGACGGGUGAGUAAUGUCUGGGAAACUGCCUGAUGGAGGGGGAUAACUACUGGAAACGGGAGCUAAUACCGCAUACCAUCAGAUGUGCCCAGAUGGGAUUAGCUAGUAGGUGGGGUAAUGGCUCACCUAGGCGACGAUCCCUAGCUGGUCUGAGAGGAUGACCAGCCACACUGGAACUGAGACACGGUCCAGACUCCUACGGGAGGCAGCAGUGGGGAAUAUUGCACAAUGGGCGAAAGCCUGAUACAGCCAUGCCGCGUGUGUGAAGAAGGCCUUCGGGUUGUAAAGCACUUUCAGCGGGGAAGCGGUACCCGCAGAAGAAGCACCGGCUAACUACGUGCCAGCAGCCGCGGUAAUUC